CAACUUUCCCACUAUCAUGAUAUUUUUUUCUGCCAAGCUAGAGCGAACCUCAGUGAUAUGAUCUUGGAUUUUCUGCGACAUUCCUGUAAUUUCCGCACGUGGGAUGAAGUCGUUCAGCUGAGAAUUAAAGGCGAGAGUAUACCGUAGUAGCUGUCCACCAUGAUCUAUCGAUCCCUCGAUCAAAUGAUGACUCAGAUCCUUUCGCUUCAAAGUCU